rnacentral:rRNA from 1 species
UCUGGCGACCGGCGCACGGGUGAGUAACACGUAUCCAACCUGCCCUUUACUCGGGGAUAGCCUUUCGAAAGAAAGAUUAAUACCCGAUAGCAUAAUGAUUCCGCAUGGUUUCAUUAUUAAAGGAUUCCGGUAAAGGAUGGGGAUGCGUUCCAUUAGGUUGUUGGUGAGGCAACGGCUCACCAAGCCUUCGAUGGAUAGGGGUUCUGAGAGGAAGGUCCCCCACAUUGGAACUGAGACACGGUCCAA